rnacentral:rRNA from 1 species
GAUGAACGCUGGCGGCGUGCCUAAUACAUGCAAGUCGAACGCAUCCCGUUAAAUGAAGUGCUUGCACGGAUUUUAACAUUGGAUGAGUGGCGAACUGGUGAGUAACACGUGGGUAACCUGCCCGGAAGCAGGGGAUAACACUUGGAAACAGGUGCUAAUACCGUAUAACAACAAAAACCGCAUGGUUUUUGUUUGAAAGGUGGUUUCGGCUAUCACUUCUGGAUGGACCCGCGGCGUAUUAGCUAGUUGGUGGAGUAAUGGUUCACCAAGGCAAUGGUACGUAGCCGACCUGAGAGGGUAAUCGGCCACAUUGGGACUGAGACACGGCCCAAACUCCUACGGGAGGCAGCAGUAGGGAAUCUUCCACAAUGGACGAAAGUCUGAUGGAGCAACGCCGCGUGAGUGAAGAAGGUUUUCGGAUCGUAAAACUCUGUUGUUGAAGAAGAACACGUUUGAGAGUAACUGUUCAGACGUUGACGGUAUUCAACCAGAAAGCCACGGCUAACUACGUGCCAGCCGCCGCCGUAA